UGACCACUGAAAAUGACACACUGAAAGGGAAAGUAUGAAGUUGCUGAACAUUACUUUGAGUGGAGAAGUACAUUUAAUUGAGGACCUUAAUGGUAGUGGGGAGAUUCUUUUUUUCCCUUGAUUGUGCACAGAGGAGGCAGGUGAUAUAACAUACUUUAUUACACAUGGGGAGGUGAGACCCUCAGAGGGUUGAAUCAUUCCAACUGAUGGAUGUACUAUCACCAGGCCCGGCUAACAGUGUGUGCUUGAACAGGGAUGGUGGUGACACCCCACAGCUCAGGAAGUCUCUCUGGGCUCUACUUCUCACCUAUGUCCUGAAUGCCCUUGCUCUGGUCAAGAAUACAUGUCCUCUCUUCCACUGCUUGACCCUCAGUUAUGUUCUUUACCCAGCUGCUACCGUCUUCCUGGUUUUAAAUGUAAGUAUGAGCUUUGGCCCCUUUCUUUAUCACACAAAUCAUAAUCUGUGGAGUUUUUCUGUCUCACAUUUGUGCCUUACCCAGGCCUUAGGUCUAAGCCUGCGGGAUACCCACCUAAAUGCAAGAGCUGUUUGAACACUGGUCUCUCAGUCUCUUUCCUACCUCUCAGGCUACAGUGACUGAGUGUGCUGAAGAUUCCUUAAUGGCCAAUAUAACUGACUGAUGUGUCUCUUUGGGAAGCUUCUCCAUACCUCAGACAAGCAUGCACCCAGAGCUUGAAAUCACAGGCGUAUAGACUCGUGCUUUUCGAGUUAGUUCACUAGAAAUAAAGGAGAAGCCUAGGCUUCAGGAGAGUUCAAAAGGCUGGCCGUGUCCUGAAGCUCAGGAGUGCCAUCCAGAGGGGUUGAUCUGAGUAUCACCAAUAGGACCAGGGGCUAAGCAUUUUAACCAGAGCAUCCCAGAACCCCAGGUUGGUGCCUAGAAAUGCAGUAGCAAACAGAGAUCCUGCCAUCCUUUCUUCUCAGUAGGAGUAUUGCUGGUAUCUAGGUUUUCAGAGGGGCUGAAAGAGAGAUAGACAGGGUCUGCCCUCCGGCCAGAAGCCUACGGCCUCCUAGUAGUAGUAGCAGCAGCAGCAGCAGCAGCAGCAUGUAUGGAGGCUCAUGCAGGAAGAGAGGACCAAGGAAGCCAGAUGUGGGCCUUUUCCAGUCCUUCACAGAGAGAAGUGCUUCAUGUGCUUCUCCCCCGCUCACAGGUGAUCCGUUUCUCUCUCAUGACUGAGAUGAUGAUGUAAGGAAGCACUCACAAGGCAGUAAGGAUAGCAGGCAAGAACUGGGGUCCCGGGGCCACACUGCCUGGAUUCCAAGCCUGAUUUUGCAUGCAUGACUUGAGACUUUGGGUAAUUUGCUUAAACUCAUUGUAACUCAGUUUUUUCUUUAUAAAUUGAUGCUUCAUCACGCAACAACUGUUUAUUUGUGCUAAUUAUUUGGGAAGGGUAGUAUUUUGGGAGCUAGGAUAUAGCCAUCAACAAACCAGAUAACAUUCCCUUCCACUGUGCAAUGUUAAGUUCUAGGGGGGCUAUAAGCAGUGCACAAAUACAUAAAUGUCUUCAUGGAGGUAAGAGCUGUGCAGAAAAAUAAAGGAUGGCAAGGGAAUAAGCAGUGGGGUAAAGUAUUUUCAUGAUCAGAACAGUGUUCACUGAAGAGAUGACAUUUGACCAGAGGUCAGAAUGCCAUGAGGAGUAAGCCAUGCAUAUACCUGGAAAAUGGUGUUUCGAUUAGAUUAAACUUCAAGUGCAAACAUCCUGAAGCUAAGGCAUGCCUGAGAUCAUGACAUGAUCUAUUAAAUACAGUUAUUGUGACAUAAAGUGAGUUAGUUCAUUAAAGUAGAGCAUGGUAGAUAAAUAUUUCUUAAUAUUAGGUAUUAGUAUUAUCAGAAUGCUUCAAACUUUCUGGCCCAGCUGGUCCACUUUCACACCUGACCUGAGGCCUCCCUGAUGUUUGGGGACACUGCCACCUGCUGCUGCUUGUUGGUAAACCAUUGAGUGUGAGCAGCAUGUUGAGAAACUGAUGUGGAGUCUGAUCUUCUGCCCUUGGUGUCCCUAUAUCUUGGCUUCUUCUGGCUAGAUAUUCACUCAGCUCCUUAAAUCAACUCUGUUUUCUGCUUUACAUCAGAUUUCUACCAUUAGUACUGCCUAUGUCACCUGUCAAGUGUCAGCUUGCCUUCCAACACAUCCGGGACAAUUGUAUAGGGAGAUGUCUUUAAACACAGAAGACUGCUCUCAGUAUAUGUUACACUAGGGCCUGUGCUCUUGCCAAAUGGCUAUCUUCAUCUUUGAGGCUAAGAAGCCAUGGAGAAAAACAAAGAUACCGAGUUAUGGUGGAGUCUAAUGAAAGAAAAAUGGACCAUCUCCCCCAGAGCUACCACGGCUUCAAUGCAUUCACCGUUGAAGGCUAGUACCUGCUCCCACAGACUCAUGGCUUUCUGAAACAGCUCUGUUGAAUGCAUUUGUAAUUUGCCACUAAAAAAUUAUACUUCCACAUGUUUACAACCUUGUCCAUAUCUGGGAAAGUGACAAGUAGAAAGUUGACCUUCUAGUCCUUCUAGUCUGGCUUUGAUCUGUCUUUGCACACAGUGGUGCUGUUUGGUGUAUGCAGAAGCCUGGGUACCUACAGGAUUUGCUUAGUGAAUAUAUCUUAUAUGACCUUCUGGUCCAUCACACUUUCAUAAUCCCCUAACAUACCAUCCCAUAUUCAAUAACAAUAACAUCAACUACAAUAGACAUUUACCUGAGAUCCUAUGAACAAGUCAUAUGUUGGCUGGGCACGGUGGUUCAUGCCUAUAAUCCCAGCACUUUGAGAGGCCAAGGCAGGAGGAUCACUUGAGGCCAGGAGUUUGAGACCAGCCCAGACAACAUGGCAAAACCCUGUCUCUACUAUGAAUACAAAAAUUAGCCAGGUAUGGUGGCAGGUGCCUGUAAUCCAGCUACUCAGGAGGCUUGACACGCGAAUCACUUCAAUCAGGAGGCAAAGGUUGCAGUGAGCCAAGAUUGCGCCACUGCACACCAGCCUGGACAGCAUAAUGAGACCUCGUCUCAAAAACAAAACAGAUGUUUUGCUAAAAACUUUUUAUCCAUUAUCUCAUUUCAACAUUACAUCAAUCCUGUGUGACCCAGAUACCCCAUAUAUCAGCAGUUGUAAGAUCACACCUCCCAUGAAUAUCCAAACCACAAAAAUCUAGGUCUCCUUUCCUUAUUACUGUCAGAGGUCCAGUGGCUUCUCCAGUUUCCCUUUCAUGAAUUUCUUGGAACCCCUGGGAAAUUCUUCCUGUCCCUAAACAUGGCUAUCUAUGGCAUGUUGGUUUGGGUUUGUGCUGCUGCCUGGCUUUUCUGAAGGUCUCCUCUUCCUGUCCAGAGACUCUUUUCAUUCAGGCAUCAGUUGCUAUUCUCCUAGCACAGCUUUGUCUCAAGUGUAGGCUCAGAUGCUUUCCAUAUUUUCCUACAGUGAUAGGGAAGAUUGAGUUGUAAUGUGUGAGAUAUUUAUGAUGGCUUUGGGGAACAGAAUGGAUUAAUGCACAGAGGACUUGACACUGGUUAUUAGCCAUGGUUACUGUGGGAGUCCUCGGGCUCAAGCCCCUUCUAAAGCCACAGCCUCCAGUGCAUAGAGCUUUUAGCUCCCUCCUUCCAACAUUGCAGGGGUCAAUUUAAAAUGCUGGCAAUUGGAUAUCCCUGAAAAUAUCUCUUGUAUUUUGAGUCCAAAUUUCUUUUUUUUCCAGUCCUAAACAGAGAGACACUUAUCCCAUAUUAGUUAAAAUCUUACCCUUGGGCUCUCUUUUUCCACCUCUGGAUGGGGAGCAAUCUCAUCUCUAUCCACAGGGUCUUACCCUAAGGCCCCCAAUACAUAAAAACACCAUAAACAAACAUAUGGGGACAUUUCUCAAUUUCUAGGUGAUUCCCUGUUGACUCACUGCACAUAUGAGUUCUAAAUACAGCUGUCCAAAUUGAGCCUUGGCAUUCCCAGAUCAGUCCCUUACAGACAUGAGGCUAAGACCAGCUGCCACACCCUCCCUAACACCUGUCAGCCUCUGCUCCCAACCUCCAUCAUGUUUUGUGUUACCCCAUUGAACAGAUAUAACUGCCUUUUGCCACUCACUAUGCACAGAGUCAAUGAGAUUGGAACUAUUAUUAGGCCCAUGUCACAGGUAAGGUCGAUGUCACAUGUAAGAAAACCCAGGUUUAGAAAGGUUAAGUAACUUGCUCAAGGCAGUACACAUUUAUACAUAAAGGGCACCUUGUGUACUCCACUUGCUUUCAUCCAGUGCUGCCCUCUUCAUCAAAGAUAUUUUAUUAUCUCUAGUAAACCCUUAGCUGCUUCGCUAACUACUGCUCUGUCUAGUUGGCUUUCUGGUUUUGGAAGAGGC
rnacentral:lncRNA from 1 species